GUCUAUGUCCAUACUACCUUGAACGCACCCAAUCGCAUCUGAUCUCAGAAGCUAAGCAGGGUCGAGUCUUGUUAGUACUUGCAUGGGAGACN
rnacentral:rRNA from 1 species